UACGGAGGAUGCAAGCGUUAUCCGGAAUGAUUGGGCGUAAAGCGUCCGCAGGUGGCUGUGUAAGUCUGCUGUCAAAGAGCAAAGCUCAACUUUGUAAAGGCAGUGGAAACUACAUGGCUAGAGUGCGUUCGGGGCAGAGGGAAUUCCUGGUGUAGCGGUGAAAUGCGUAGAGAUCAGGAAGAACACCGGUGGCGAAGGCGGCAUCCUGGACCGGCAUUGACGCUGAGGCGCGAAAGCCAGGGGAGCAAACGGG
rnacentral:rRNA from 1 species